UACAGAGGUCCCGAGCGUUAGGCGGAAUCACUGGGCUUAAAGCGUGUGUAGGCGGCGGCCUAAGUACCUUGUGAAAUCCCACGGCUCACCCGUGGAACUGCUCGGUAUACUGGGUCGCUUGAGCCACUUAGGGGCUACCGGAACAAAUGGUGGAGCGGUGAAAUGCGUAGAUAUCAUUUGGAACGCCAAUGGUGAAAACAGGUAGCUGGGAGUGUGCUGACGCUGAGACACGAAAGCCAGGGGAGCAAACGGG
rnacentral:rRNA from 1 species